rnacentral:rRNA from 1 species
CAGCACCUCAAGUGGUCAGGAUGAUUAUUGGGCCUAAAGCAUCCGUAGCCGGCGCUGUAAGUUUUCGGUUAAAUCUGUACGCUCAACGUACAGGCUGCCGGGAAUACUGCAGCGCUAGGGAGUGGGAGAGGUAGACGGUACUCGGUAGGAAGGGGCAAAAUCCUUUGAUCUAUUGAUGACCACCUGUGGCGAAGGCGGUCUACCAGAACACGUCCGACGGUGAGGGAUGAAAGCUGGGGGAGCAAACCGGAUUAGAUACCCGUGUAGUCC